rnacentral:rRNA from 1 species
AACGCUAGCUACAGGCUUAACACAUGCAAGUCGAGGGGCAGCAUCGCGAUAGCUUGCUAUUGCGGAUGGCGACCGGCGCACGGGUGAGUAACGCGUAUCCAACCUUCCCGCAACUGGGGAAUAACCUUGCGAAAGUAAGACUAAUACCCCAUGGUCUCCAUAGAAGACAUCUGAAAUGGAGUAAAGGUUCCGGCCGGUUGCGGAUGGGGAUGCGUCCGAUUAGCUUGACGGCGGGGUAACGGCCCACCGUGGCAUCGAUCGGUAGGGGUUCUGAGAGGAAGGUCCCCCACAUUGGAACUGAGACACGGUCCAAACUCCUACGGGAGGCAGCAGUGAGGAAUAUUGGUCAAUGGGCGGAAGCCUGAACCAGCCAAGUAGCGUGAAGGACGACUGCCCUAUGGGUUGUAAACUUCUUUUAUGCGGGGAUAAAGUUCGCCACGAGUGGCGUUUUGCAGGUACCGCAUGAAUAAGGACCGGCUAAUUCCGUGCCAGCAGCCGCGGUAAUACGGAAGGUCCAGGCGUUAUCCGGAUUCAUUGGGUUUAAAGGGAGCGUAGGCCGCCUUUUAAGCGUGUUGUGAAAUGUAGGGGCUCAACCCCUGCACUGCAGCGCGAACUGGAGGGCUUGAGUACACACAAAGUAGGCGGAAUUCAUGGUGUAGCGGUGAAAUGCUUAGAUAUCAUGAAGAACCCCGAUUGCGAAGGCAGCUUACUGGAGUGUAACUGACGCUGAAGCUCGAAAGCGCGGGUAUCGAACAGGAUUAGAUACCCUGGUAGUCCGCGCGGUAAACGAUGGAUGCCCGCUGUUUGCCAAUUUGGUAAGCGGCCAAGCGAAAGCGUUAAGCAUCCCACCUGGGGAGUACGCCGGCAACGGUGAAACUCAAAGGAAUUGACGGGGGCCCGCACAAGCGGAGGAACAUGUGGUUUAAUUCGAUGAUACGCGAGGAACCUUACCCGGGCUUGAAUUGCAGGAGAACGAUCCAGAGAUGGUGAGGCCCUUCGGGGCUCCUGUGAAGGUGCUGCAUGGUUGUCGUCAGCUCGUGCCGUGAGGUGUCGGCUUAAGUGC